rnacentral:rRNA from 1 species
UACGGAGGAUCCGAGCGUUAUCCGGAUUUAUUGGGUUUAAAGUGUGCGCAGGCGGGAGAUUAAGUCGGCGGUGAAAUUUUGCAGCUCAACUGUAAAAGUGCCUUCGAAACUGGUUUCCUUGAGUGUAGAUGAAGUAGGCGGAAUUUGUGGUGUAGCGGUGAAAUGCAUAGAUAUCACGAGGAACUCCGAUUGCGCAGGCAGCUUACUAAACUACUACUGACGCUCAGGCACGAAGGCGUGGGGAUCAAACAGGAUUAGAUACCCU